rnacentral:lncRNA from 1 species
UUUUUUUUUUUUUUUGUCUUUUUAGGGCUGCACACAUGGGAACCCAUGAAGGUUUCCAGGCUAGGGGUCAAAUUGGAACAUAUCGAACCUAUGUCCUCAUGGAUACUAGUCAGAUUUGUUUCUGCUGAGUCACGAUGGGAACUCCUGCUUGUUUUUCUUUUAAUUUUUUUAUUAUAGUUGAUUUACAAUGUUUUAUAAAUUUCUGGUGUACAGCAAAGUGACCACACACAUUCUUUUUCUCAUAUUAUCUUUUAUCAUGUUCUAUCCCAAAUGAUUGGAUAUAAUUCCCUGUGCUGUACAGCAGGACCUCAUUGCUUAUCCGUUCUAAAUGUAAUACCUUGCAUCUACAAACCUCUAAACUCCCAGUCCCUCCCACUCCCCCUUGGCAACCACAAGUCUGUUCCCCAAGUCCAUGAUUUUCUUUUCUGUGGAAAGGUUCGUUUGUGGCAUAUAUUGGAUUUCAGAUAUAAGUGAUAUCCUAUGGUAUUUGUCUUUCUCUUUCUGACUCACUUCAUUUAGUAUGAGAGUCUCUAGUUCCAUCCAUGUUGCUGCAAAUGGCAUUAUUUUGUUCUUUUUUAUGGCUGAGUAGUAUUCCAUUGUGUAUAUAUACUACAUCUUCUUAAUCCAUUCAGCUGUUGAUGGACAUUUAGGUUUUUCCAUGUCUUGGCUAUUGUGUAUAUGCUGCAAUGAACAUACGGGUGCAUGUAUCUUUUUCAGUGAAAGUUUUGUCCUGAUAUAUGUCCAGGAGUGGAUUGCUGGAUCAUAUGGUAGUUCUAUAUUUAGUUUUCUGAGGACCUUCCAUACUGUUUUCCAUAGUGGUUGUACCAAUUUGCAUUCCCACCAACAAUGUAGGAGGGUUCCCUUUUCUUCACACCUUCUCUAGCAUUUGUUAUUUGUAGACUUAUUAAUGAUGGCCAUUCUGACCGGUGUGAGGUGUUACUUCAUUGCGGUUUUGAUUUGCAUUUCUCUGGUAAUUAGUGAUGAUGAGCAUCCAUCCAUUGGAUGGAUGACACAUGGAUGGAUGUUGGCCAUCCAUAUAUCUUCUUUGGAGAGAUGUCUAUUUAGGUUUUCUGCCUGUUUUUCAAUUGGGUUGUUUACUUUUUUGUUGUUGAGUUGUAGGAGUUGUUUGUGUAUUUUGGAGAUUAAGCCCUUGCUGGUUGCAUUGUUGAUAGUUAUUUUUUUCCCCAUUCCAUAGGUUGUCUUUUUUUUUUUUAUGGUUUCCUUUGCUGUGCAAAAGCUUGUAAGUUUGAUUAGGUCCUAUUGGUUAAUUUUUGUUUUUAUUUCCAUUGCCUUGGGAGACUUACCUAAGUAAACAUUUGUACAGUUGAUGUCAGAGAAUGUUUUGCCUAUGUUCUCUUCUAGGAGUUUGAUGGCAUCUUGUCUUAUGUUUAAAUCUUUAAGCCAUUUUGAAUUUAUUCUUGUGCAUGGUAUGAGGGUGUGUUCUAGUUUCAUUGAUUUGCAUAUAGCUGUCCAGUUUUCCCAGCACCGCUUGCUGAAGAGACUGCCAUUUCCCCAUUUUAUAUUCUUGCCUCCUUUGUUGAAGAUUAAUUGACUGUAAGUGUCUGGGUUUAUUUUGGGUUCUCUAUUCUGUUCCAUUGGUCUGUAUGUCUGUUUUGGUACCAGUGCCACACUGUCUCGAUGAUUGUAGCUUUAUAAUAUUACCUGAAGUCUGGGAGAGUUAUGCCUCCUGCUUGUCUUUUUUUUUUUUUUCCCCAUCAGGAUUAUUUUGGCAAUUCUGGGUUUUUAUGGUUCCAUAUAAAUUUUGGGAUUGUUUGGUCUAGCACUGACUCUUUGCUACCACUUCCUCACUCUCUCAGUUCUGCCUGGGGUCCCUGUGUACAGAAGUUCUCUGCUCCAGUGUCUCCAGAAAAUUCAUCUCCUGUCUGAUGAAGUGGAGGGGCAGUCACCUGGCCAUGCUGGCUUUGCAAGGAACCUACAGCUCUAACUUUUCCUCGGACAGUCUUUCAGCCCAGCCUGUGCUGACCAUGAAAGGUGCCCAGUACCUCCCGUUCCCCAAACUUUCCAAGGUUUUUCUGUGUCUUCUUCAUGGCUUCCCUCCUCUCCAAGCAACAUGCUUCCAUCGCUCUUUCCUCUGCUGAGUAGGUAACUACUCGUCUACCUUCUGCCAAAGUCUUGUUGCUUUCUCUCACCUGUUGUUAUUUCCUCCAGUUCUUUGUUUUUAUUAUUAUAUGAUUCUUAUUUAUAUUCUAGGGUUUCAGCUGAAUGUCUGUGGGUCUGCUGUGUGCAUGUAAAAGUGAACUAAUGCUUUAAUACCACACUCUACAUAUUGACAUGUUUUUUUUUCCCCUCUCACUUGUCAUUUGGCUCUUUCUAUUCCUUCCCUAUGGAAACAAAAAUUACAUCCAUUUUAAAAUGUUGCACAACUUUCUUUUAAAAUCUAUAAAUACUCAAAGUUAGCAUAUACCUAAUUAGAUAGAUGUUGCAGCUGUGGAAACUGUAAAUUUUUUUUAAGACAUGCAACUACAUAAUCUAAAGAAGCUAAGCAUAUUUUUUUUUUCUGGUGUAGAUGAUGCUGUAAUGAACUCAUUACAGUUGCAAAGAGUUUGUUUUUUGUUUUUUUUUCAUUUUUGUAUCAGAGUAUGUUCCAGGGGCCUUUUUAAGCUCAAAUUGUUCCUAUGGUAUCUAUGAUUUAUAAAGACAGGUGUGAGAAACAUUUUCAGAUGUUUCUUCUGUACCACAUGUUAGCCCUGUAUUCCUUUGGCUGCACGCCCACUGAAAGGUGUUUGAAACAGCUCUGUGGUAUAUACAGUUCUUUAAUUAUCAGCUCUCUGGGUUUGAGAAAGUAAAGUUGAUAAAAUCUAGACAGAAUGUUUUGGGAAACAGUGUCUGUGCAUUUGUAGUGGCUGUUUCUUUAUGUGUGUUUGUUUAGUAUUUUAUUAAACCUAGUUUUCACACCAGCACAUGGUUACUUAAAAAGGCAGCUAUUGCAUGCUUUGAUGUCAGGGGCUGUGGCAAGAUAUUGGCCUGCACUUUCUCUUCGGUCCUUGAGGAAGAACCUUGCUAUUGGGUCUGUUAUUGCUCUCAUGCUGCAGGGGAAGAAACCACAGCUUUGGAUGUUGGAGCGUCACUAAGUGGUGGAAGCAGGGCCAUCUCUAGGCUCUCUUAUGAUGGGGACCAGGUAUUAGCCAGGCCGUGGUGAACCUUUUGGGAUCGGUAUAUUCCAUCUUUGGAAUAGGCAUAAUGUCUAUAGCAUUGUCAUGUGAUUUGCUUUUGAACAGAAUGAUAAUGCCGUUCCAAUAAACUUUUUUUCCUUUGCUGGUUGACUUGUGCCCCUGGAAUAGCAUGCUUCCUGACGGGCUGCCAUUUCAGCCCUCAUACUUGGUCCGGCAAAUUCUUCAUUCUGCUUCCUUGGGCUUUAUUUAAGGUCCAGUAUCCCUUGCCUCCAGUAGAUGGAUGAGAUGGAGAGGCCAAAUAAUUCAGCAUCAUAUUGAUAUUUUUUUUUUAUCCUUUAAGCUUUCAGGUCACCCCAGGGUGACACAAAGAGCUCAGUUACUAGGCAACUGCUUAAAAAAUUGGGCAGCCUCACUGGACUGAUUCUGAACCUUACAUCUGUCCACCCAUCAAUGCUGCUCCUGGAAGCGUUGGCCUCCCCAGUCCUUUCAGAUGAUCCAUGCCUAGAACUGUUGAUCCAUCCUUGGCCAUGUCUUCCCUUGCUAGGGCAUCAGGGGUGUGGGCCUGCAGUUUGGCCAAAAGAUUCCUCAUUUUGUGUUUUGCUAUACUUGUCAUGAAAGCUGGGAUACGACUGUAGCAUUUGCCAUGAGGUCUAUGUUCACAGGCCUCUGAAUGUCAUCUGAGAACCUGGUUUUGCUCUCUUACAUCCUGGGUGUUUUGGUGGUGUUCUUGGGAGCCUGCAUUAGGACGCUGAGUCUAUGUAAUGUCUUAGAAAGCAGCUGCGCUCUGCUCGAUGGAAUACAUGUAUUCCUGAAAUGAGGCAUGCUAAGCAAAAUUGCUCAACUCACAUAAUUUCUUCAGCUGAUUUCGGUAUGAUUUGAGAUAUGAGCAUGCAAAAGGUCACGACAAAGAAUUCUGGCCCCGUUAUCCAUUCAUGCAUAAAAUGCGAAAUAUUGUAACUUGAAUAAAGGAUGUAGAAUAAGCUAUACAUCUCAUUCUUGGCAACCAGAUUGACUAUAGAUGCUUCGGAAUUUUACAAUUCAAAGAUGUAAAGUGUUGGAGUUCCCGCCAUGGCACAGUGGGUUAAGAAUCUGACUGCAUUGGCCUGGGUCACUGUGGAGGUGUGGGUUCGAUGCCCGGCCUGGCAUAGUGAGGUAAAGGAUCCAGUGUUGCUGAGGCUGUGGUGUAGGUUACAGCUGUGGCUCGUAUUCAGUCCCUGACCUGGGAACUUCGUAUGCCAUGAGCCAUGAAGAAAUUGAAAGAAAAAGAAAAGAUGUAAAAUUUAACGAUUAUUUGUAACCAUUCCCCAUUCUCUCCAGCCAUCAAAUUCUUCAUCCUUUUUUGCAAAGACAACCUCCACCCUGAAAUUGGUAGGUGGGUUGUAGAUAUGUGCGUAUGUGUGUGUAGUGUGUUUAUGAGUAUAUAGCUCCCUAAUCAAUAUUUGAUGUUAUCUCUGUAUUAAACAUUAUGAUUCUGUAUUAAAAUAUCAAAUGGUUCCCUACUAUGUAUGGUAGUCUUCUGCAACUCAUUUUGUUUUCAAUCAGUGUAUUUGCAGAGAUUUAUUCAUAUUGAUAUGUGUGCUUACUUCACUCCUUUUAAUCUAGCGGAUAAACCAUACAUUGUACAUUCCUGUAUUGAUAAGUAUCUGUUUCCCCCUACUUUUUGCCAUUGCGCGGGUACAAGGAUACCUGUACCUGUCCCCACAUAUGUAGACGUGAGCUCUAGGGAAUCUCUGACAGAAUUAUUAGGUGGUAGAGUAAGCCAGUUUUCUACUUUGAUGUAUGUUGCUACAUCGCUUUCUAAACUGGUUGUCCAAGUUUACGUGCCUACUCGUCAGAGAGUUCUGGUUGUCCACGGUUUUGCCAAUACCUGGAAUUUUCAAACUUUUAUUUUCUUUUUUAGGGCUCUACUGCAGCAUAUGGAAGUUCCCAAACUAGGGGCGGAACCAGACUGCAGCUUCCAGACCACGCCACAGCCACUGCAACUCAGGAUCCUUCACCCACUGAGUGGGGCCAGGGAUCAAACCUGCGUCCUCAUGAAUACUAGUCAGGUUCGUUACCGCUGAGCCACAAUGGGAACUCCAGUAUUUUCAAACUUUUUAAGGUUGCCAAGCCGGAUGUGAAACAUCUCAUUGUUUUUAUUGGUAUUUUCCUGAUUGCUAGAGACUUUAAGACUCUUCUUAAUGUGUGUAUAUGUUUCUCUGUGUUUCUUCUUUGGGUCACGUAUCAUUUGCCCAUUUUUCUCUCUAAGUUUGUUUUAAGAAAUCCUUGUCUCUUUCCUGAGCUCCAAAAGAGAUGUUUAUCAUUUCUUCUAAAUUUUAAGUCUUGGCUCUUCACUUUUGGUAUAACUGGAAUUUAUUUUUUAUUUGUUGUGUGAGGGUAUGUUCUAUUGUUUCCCCAUAGAGAUAAGAUACCAACCAUCCUCGUAACAUUUAUUGAAUCCUUGCAUCCUGAUAAACACUAAGUUUAGACAGCUAUGCUUCUGGAUUUCUUGUUCUGGUGGACUGUUGCUUUAUCCUAUUUCCAGUAUCAUACCAAUUUCAGCAUCCUGUAAUAUAAUGAGCCUGAUGUAUUUAGAUUGGUCGAUAUAUAGUGGUCUAAAGAGCAGACACUGGGGUCAGUGUGCCAGGAUUUGCGUAUCCGCUCUGCCACCUAUGACCUUGUGUGACCUUGGGAAGGUGAUAAACCAUCCUGAAAAUCUCACCUUUCAGGACCGUCUGUGCUGGGCAAACCAUGAUGGCUGGGCACCCUAAACUCAGUCAAAUUACGCUCUCUCUUUUUCCUCCAGUUUCUCUGUGACAUGGUAAUGAUAGUAUCUGCACCCCUGGCGGUGUGGGGAAGAUUAAAUAAGAUGAUACAUGAGAGGUGCUCUGAACAGGCCUGGCCCAUGUGGGGGGCUCAAAAAGGUAAUUUCUCCUGCCCCUCUCCCUUCCUCUCCUUUAAAAUGUUCUUGAGUAUUCUUGAAACAUUAGUAUUACCUAUGAACUGUAGAAUCUCCUUGCUAAACUCUUCAGAAUCCUCAGUGGGAACUUAUAGGUCAAUUUGGGCAGAACUGACAUUCUCAUGGCAUCAGAGCUUUUUGCCAUAAACAUGGCCGUUUCUUUAUAUGUUUUUCUUAAUAGUAUUCAGUAAGUUAAAAAAAUUCUCUCUGAAGUUCUUCCAUAUCUAAGAUAUAUUUCAAGGUACUCUAACUACCUACUAGAGUUGUUAUUAUUAUGAAUGGCUUCAGUAUUUUUAAAAUUAAAAAAUGCUAGGAGUUCCCUGGUGGCUCAGUGGGUUAAGGAUCUGGUUGUGUUGUUGCUGUGGCUGUGCUUCGAUCCCUGGCUGGGGAACUUAGACAUGCCGUGGAUGUAGCCAAUAAUAGUAAUAAUAUAAAAUAAAAUAAAAAUUGGAUCAUGGAAAAUUCUAAACAUAUGCAAAAGUAGACAGACUGGUAUAAUGAACAUUCUUGUGUCUGUUAUUCAGCUUCGGCAAGCACCAGCUUGUGGCUAGUCUUGUAUUAUCUGGGGAAUUAAAUCCUUUUAAAAAGUUCUAAUUGAUGUUUUCUCUUUCAGUGUAAAUGAAUGUUACUCAUUUCUGUACUUGGAUUUUGAAUUCAGUAACCAUGCUUGAUUUUUAUUAGUUCUAAUGGCUUCAUGACUAACUUCAUAGACAUUCUAAGAGAAUUGUCAUCUGAAAACGAUGGUACUUUUUGCUCAUUCCUUUAUAGUUCUCGGGCAUUCCACCACUUUCAUUUCUUUUCUUUCAUUGGCUAGCACCUCCCUUAUAGGGAUAAACGAAAGUGGCGAUUGGGAAUGUCCUUGAGUUUUUUCCUCUUCACUUUAAUGAGAAUAGCUUUUCAUCAUUGAUUAGGAUGUUUACUGCAAAAUUUUGUUAGAUGCAUCUCUUUUUUUAAUCUAAAGUAAGAGCAUUUCUCUGUACUGCUAGUUUACUAAAAUGUUUUCAACAUAUAUACGUGGUUAUUUAAUGAAAAAAAAAAAAA